rnacentral:lncRNA from 1 species
AAAAAACGUCAUCACUGUUUGCAAACACUGAAAUUGGUCUAUGGACGUCAAACCAACAGCAGCGUCGCGUCAAAUGGCGCAAUUUUUUAUUGAACGCGUCGUGAAUCUGCUACGGUAACGUUAGAUCGAUUUCACGGAAGAAAGAGGGAAAUACUGUUUCUUGGACGGCAUGGAUCUGAGAGUGGCACGGGAGACGCAUGCAGCCGUUUGAUCAGAGCUAAUGCGCUGGAAGCUGCUGAGGAUGCUACCCUUACCGCGCUUUUCCCAGGAGAGACGGGGAGCAAAGAGAAGAAAGGGGGAAUGAAGAUGUUCCCAGCGGACACCUGCAGAGCAUACCUCACCUUCAUCCAUCAGGAAUCUCCCCUAUGAGUUAAUGCCAGCAGGGAACCAUCCUGACAGCAACUAUUCAACUACUUUAUUUCCCAAAGACGAUGAUGGGAUUUACCAUUGUUUCUUCUGCUCUCAAG